GGGGUCAUCGGACUGUAGCCAACAGGGCUGGGGCUGGGACUGGCCUGAACCGAGAGAAGAAUGAGCAUUGGAACAGUCACUGGGCCCCGCCACCGACGUCCACAGCCUUCUGUGAUGGGCAUACCUGCCCUGGUGGGACAGAAGUCUGUUGAGAAUGACGGCGGUAACAAACAUGACGAUGCUUGAAGAACCGUACUACACACUGGAUCCGCUACUGAGGCGACUUCAGUCUGACAGAGGCCCCAGACAAGGGCUUUCCUGACGCUAUGGCAAUGCCACAGCCUAGUCGAUGGCGCGGAGGGACAAGGCUGCCUGCUCAAGAUCACACACCCGGCAAUGUCCCCAAGCACAGUUGUAACUGCAUGUAGAGGCUGCUGAUGUGGACAGGACGUUUGUAUUCCUAGCUUGAAGCAGUCACCACAAUAUCCAAGCAACCAGUCAUAACCUGGCCGACACGGCCCAUCUUAAAAGUGACCCUCACCUGGAAGGCGUAUUCGGGUUGUUGGGGUCCCAGGCCCCACUCUGAGCAGGAGUGCGGCUACCAUCAUGCAGGGGCGUCUGCGAGCCAUAGUGUGGAGUGCGGCUACCUGGAUAAAGUAAAGCAGCGUGCUCUCUCUCUA